GACGAACGCUGGCGGCGUGCCUAAUACAUGCAAGUCGAACGCAGUGGGGACGGGUGAGUAACACGUGGGUAACCUCCCAUCAGAGGGGAUAACACUUGGAAACAGGUACUAAACCGAUACUGAUGGAUGGACCCUGAGUGAAUUAGCUAGUUGGUGGGGUAACGGCUCACCAAGGCCACGAGCCAUAGCCGGUCUGAGAGGGUGAUCGGCCAAACGGGGACUGAGACACGGCCCAGACUCCUACGGGAGGCAGCAGUGGGGAAUCGUCGGCAAUGGGCGAAAGUCUGACCGAGCAACGCCGCGUGAGUGAAGAAGGUUUUAGGAUCGUAAAACUCUGUUGUUAGGGAAGCGGUAUCUAACGAGAAAGCCACGGCUAACUACGUGCCAGCAGCCGCGGUAAUAC
rnacentral:rRNA from 1 species